AAAGUGUUAAGUUAAAUAGACUUUAGUAUUUCAAGUAUUAAUGAAGAUGUGUUCUACACUUUA
rnacentral:tRNA from 1 species